rnacentral:rRNA from 1 species
UACGUAGGGUGCAAGCGUUGUCCGGAAUUAUUGGGCGUAAAGAGCUCGUAGGCGGUCUGUCGCGUCGGAUGUGAAACCUCGGGCUCAACCCCGAGCCUGCAUUCGAUACGGGCAGACUAGAGUUCGGUAGGGGAGACUGGAAUUCCUGGUGUAGCGGUGAAAUGCGCAGAUAUCAGGAGGAACACCGGUGGCGAAGGCGGGUCUCUGGGCCGAUACUGACGCUGAGGAGCGAAAGCGUGGGGAGCGAACAGG